rnacentral:lncRNA from 1 species
CUGCUGUCAUCUCCCCCUUCAGUACUUCCCACAUAUGACUACCAACUGUUAGACGAUGUGCUGCUGCCAGACCAGCCUUUCAUUUCUUGGACAUCCGGCUAUUUACCCAGGAAAAGUCAUCCUUUGACUAUUUUUCAUGACCUUUCUCAUCUGACUCGUGAUCUGCCCAUCUUGUUACUCCCUAGCAGUGUGGUAAGUGAAUUCUUGUUUCUGCCUUAAAUCUACUUCUGUCUCAGCCAAAUUCAUUCUCCCAAGAAGACAAGGAUCGAGGACUGUGGAGCCAACUCAGACUCGCCACGGCUAACAAUGUUUCCUGGGAUCGCCUCCCAAAUAAACUGCUUGUACUUGAACCCUUGUCUCAGAGUUGACUACUGGAAGAACCCCAGAUAAGACAAUCUGCGAGUAGACAUGUCAGAUAAUGCAGUUAGAUAUGAAUCUGGAAUUCAGAGGAGAGGCUCAUGCAAUUUGCAAGUCAUCAUCAAAAAGAUGUCAUUUGUUCUGUUUGUCUACUGCAGGAAGACAGAUUACCCUAAAAUUUAGUGGCUGAAAACAACUCUAUUUUAUCGUAGCUUACAAUUUUGUGGAUUGGGAAUUAGAGCCUGUCUCAUCUGGGCAACUCUUCUGUUCCCCAUGGCAUCACCUGAGGUCACUCCAUGGUAUUCAGCUACCAGACGAACUCAUCUGGAGUAUCCAAGUAUUCAUUCACGCUCAUAUCUGGCACCUUGGCAGGGAUGACUGGAAGCCUGGGCUCAGCUGGGACUGCUGACCAUAGUACCUACAAAUGGCCUCUUCAGCAUGGCUUCUUAAAUGGCUGCUCGGAGCUACCAAGAGACAGGAAGUAGAAGCUGCUAGUUUCUUAAGACCCAGAAAUGGUACAAUUUCAUUCCUGCCAUUGGUCAAAGCAGUCACAGAGCCUUCCAAGAGGAAACACAGACCCUCACUUCUCACUGGGAAGUAUGUCAAAGAGUUUGGGGCUUUUUUUUUGAGAAGGAGUCUUGCUCUGUCGCCCAGGCUGGAGUGCAGUGGCAAGAUCUCGGCUCACUGCAACCUCUGCCUCCCGAAUUCAAGCAAUUCUCCUGCUUUGGCCUCCCAAGUAGCUGGGAUUACAGGCAUGCGCCACCACACCCGGCUAAUUUUUUUGUAUUUUUAGUGGAGACGGGGUUUCACCAUAUGGGCCAGGCUGGUCUCGAACUCCUGACCUUGUGAUUCACCUGCCUCAGCCUCCCAAAGUGCUGGGAUUACAGACGUAAGCCACUGCGCCCAGCCCUGGGGCUGUCUUUAAUCCACUACAACAUUGCAAAGCUGUGAGCCAGGAUGAGAACGCCAGAGGUAUGAAUGUGGAUUAAAAGUCCAAGCACUGAAACUUUCAAUGUUUAGAGACCAGUGAGAGAAAGAACCAGCAACAGAGACUCAGAACUAUAUCAUAUUCUGCUGAUAAGCCAAUAAGAUGAUAAUGAUAACUAAGAAUUGACAUUGGCUUUAGUGAUGUAGACAUAAUUGGGGACCUUGACAAGAGCAGUUUACUGGGGGUGGUUGAGUUGAAACUUUGAUUGUUUCAAGAGAGAAUGGAAUGAGUGGAAAGAUAGUUUGUGAGUGCUAGCAAUUAUUCAGAGAAUUUCUGCUAUAAAUGGGAGCAGGAGGAUGUAUCAGGAGCUAAUGGGAGAAAUGAGGUCAACAUUAUUUCCUAUGUAGCUUUCUCUUAUGCCCAAAUUCCACUGGAUAUCAUCCACUUCUGGUUACUUCUGGUUUGGGAUGUAUAGGUGAAGGAAUAGUUUUGGAUCCUCCUUUAUUACCUGUUUUAUUUGCAUAAUUGGACAAUAACUAAACUUGCUUUAAAUAUCUCUUAAAGCAUUUUAAAUUCAAAUUUGGAGAGAGGAAUAUGAGAGUGGUUUUUGGUCAUUGUUUAGCCAUAUACAAUAUUGUCUUACCUUCUGCAUUUGAAGUUUUUGAUACCUGAUAAAUGUUUGUAUUGUGUAGUUGAACAAGAAUUUGCCACAUGAAGGUUUACAGUUGUAGUUUUAUGUUAAGUUCUUUACAGUAGUCCCCUCUCAUCUUUAUCCCCCACUUGGAACUAUCUACAGUAGUUCCAGGACCCCCCUCCCAGUGGAUGAUUGAAACCAUGGAUAGUACCAAACCCUAUAUACAUAUUAUGUUUUUCCUAUACAUACAUACCUAUGAUGUUUAAUUUCUAAAUUAGGCGGAGUAAGAGAUGAACAACAACUAAUAAUGUAAUAGAACAGUUGUAACAAUAUACUAUAAUAAGAGCUACAUGAAUGUGGUUUCUCCCUCUCAAAAUGUGUUACUGUACUCACCUAUCUUUGGUCCAUGGUUGUCUGUGGGUGACUGAAACUGCAUAUAAGGCAGGGGACUACUGUAACCACAGGUGUUGGAAGGCAGCAUAGCAGAGUAGUUAGGGUCAGGACUGCGGAGGAAGACUGCCUAGGUUCAUAUUAUGAUGUAAACUCUCCAUGCCUCACUUUUCUUAUCUAAUGCGGAGAUAAUAAUAGUAACUCAUUUGUAAAGUUAUUAUAAGUAUUAAAUGAGAAAAUACAUGUAAGACACUUAGAGUAUCACAGGUCAUCACUUACUUAGUAUGUAGUAAGUAUUUGAUGAGGUUAGUUACUAUUCUUAUUGAGCAGUGAAUCAGUUAGGAAUGCUUUCGGCUGCAAGGAGGAGAAUACUGAUUUACAGUGGCCUCAGUGAGAAGCCUGCAUUUCUCUCACAGAGCAGGCACUGCAGAGGUAGGCAGCUGCUAAAACAGGUUCCUUUCUACAGCUCCAGGGGUCUGAGUUGGCCACUCUUCAGUUCCCUCGGACCUCCCCUGUUGUUUGCCACACCACCAAUCAUCACAUUCUCAAAGGCAUUCAAGGCAGAAAGCUGGGAACAAGGAAGGGCGGAGAGUUUCUCUUCAGGAGCCUCCCUCUUACUAGAGAAGAAAAAAACCUGCCUUUUAUGGGUUCUUUUGUCUUGUUUUUCAUGACUGUCUUCAUUUGAGAAAGUCCUCAGGCCAAGAAAUGGAGGUGCUGGCAGUUGGAGAUCAGGCUGUCCAUAGCACACUGAUGUGGCACAGGCAAGGAAUAUGGCUGAGGCACCAAUUUGCUGCUACUGCUGUCUAACAGGCAUUGGAAGUCUUAUGUGUUCAAAAAUAAACUUCUGAUUUCUACUCCCAAA